UCUGCUCAAUGAUUUUAAAUAGCCGCAAUUAUAUUGUGCUAAGGUAGCAUAAUCAUUUGUCUUUUAAUUAAAGACUAGAAUAAACGAUUUUACAUUUAAUUUAUUUUUUUUAAUUUAAAUUUUAAACUUUUUUUAAAUAUAAAAAAAUAUUUAUACAAAAAAAAGACAAAAAGACCCUAUUAAACUUUACUAAAGUUAAACUGGGGAAGUUAAUUAAUUAUUAUUUUAAUUUACAUAUUUUUUAUAAUCUAAUAUUAUUAAUAAAAAUAAGUUACUAUAGGGAUAACAGCGUAAAAUUUUUUAAAGAUCUUAUUUAAAAAAAAAAUUACGACCUCGAUGUUGAAUUAUUUUUUCUUAAAAAAGCAAAAAUUUUUAAAGAAAGUCUGUUCGACUUUUAAUUAUUUACAUGAUCUGAGUUCAAACCGGAG
rnacentral:rRNA from 1 species